UAACGAAGCUUCUUCGGCCUUCCUGGAGGGCGUCUUGUAGCAGGUGGGGACAAUCGCAUGUCGGUGAUAACUUGGGGCAAAUCAGUAUUCGAUGUAUCCGUUAUAGGGACUAUAGUUCCUUGAUAGGCAAGCCUGAGUAAACUAACGUUAUAUUCUUUGGCAACGAGAGUAUCGACGUUUAUCUUUGCUUUAAGUGCUGCAGAAAUGGCGUGGGAGCAUGGAAUAGAUAGCAUUUGAAACUCGCAGCAACUACACGUCAGAGUUUCUAGAUUGACAAUGAAACUCUGCCCUCCCUUCUUACGUAUUUCAAACUGAUUUGAGCCAAUUUGUGUUACCUCAUAUCCGCAUGUUGCCUCGAAGGUGGUUGUUACGAUUUCCAGGAUGCGUGGUGUGAGGAUAUUGUCAUUGUUGUUGGCAGAUUCCCGUCUUGUGGCACACCACAUCGUUAGCUUCCCACAAAUGAAUUCGAUGAGAGGGAUGAUCGGAUACUGUAACGACCCGAUCCCAGUCUCGGAACUUGUUAGCCAGCUAAAGUCCAAGCACUACCUAAGGACCCAAGAUAUUUGCCUAUAAAUACCUACCUCUACAUUGAUUUCUCCUUUUGCAACAAGAAAAUAAAACUCAGAAGUUAGAGAGAAGAAGAAAUGAGAGAGAGAGAGAGAGAGAGUGAGAGAAAGAAAGAUAGAAACCAAUGCAUGUUGCCACCAGAGAUCGCCGGAACCACCACACGCCAGGACAUCGUCAAGCUCGUCAUCACCAUCAACCGCAGCUUAGAAUCGCCGGAAACCGCCGCCUCUUAAGCUUUGUUUUCGUCCGUUCAGUAAAUCGGAUAUAUCUCCCUAACCGUUGAGAAUCUCGUGCAUGCAAGACCAUCAUCGUGUUCCUCUCGUCGAGACGAGUCCGUAGACACCGACCACGCCGUAAUCGGAGCUCAGACGAAGCCGUACGCGCCUCCAAAAGUUACGCCGACUGCGCGCGUUUCUUCCACGCGCCGCCGCCGGAUAUCGCCUCCGCCGUCUUCCGCCACCGUCCUCCGCCGCAUCUCCGUCGCUGCCAGAAGUCGCCUCCGCCGCAGCUCCGCCGCCGCCGGGAAUCGCCUCCGCCGUUGCCGCCGGCGAACUUUCCGAUAUGGAGUCUAUUUGAGCAGCUGGAGUUCAUAAACACUACUUUUCUAUUGCUAAGGUGAGACAAAUAAGUAUGUGAUAUUUGGACGGACUUGGUGCUACUGGACUUUUCCUACAGAUUUUUAUUUGGGUUUUGGGUGAGCGUUAUUGAGUUUAUGGGCUUUUAUAUUAUGGGAUAUUGUUGGUGGCCCGUCGUCCUUAGUGAGAAGGAGACGGAUGUCACAUUGUUGUAUGAUGACGCGUCGGGGGUGACACGCUGUCCUCCAGAUAGGAGGUGACGGGUGUCGCAAUUUUGGUAUCAGAGCCAGGUUCCAUCCCGGUUCCGUCCGGGAUGGCGGUCAGGGGAUUCGGUUUCCAUCGGUUUUCAAUGUUCUUUAAAAAAAAAAAAAAAUAUAUAUAUUUAUAUAUUUGGAAAAUUCUUUUAGCACCAUUCUGUCCAGUGAUUACUAACUCAAAUGUCUCUUUCUAUGACGAUGAGUAAAAACAUCGUCAUUCGUCCUUCGACUAACAGGGUUCUCGCCAGAUGUUCAGCAGUUGGGCGAUGUUUAAGUUCGUCAGUUUUCUCGGGAGUUAUCAGUUUCUUCGGUCAUGAUUUCGAGGUUAUCCAGGAGUGGAUAUGUGACGUUUCUGCCACCAGCCCACUUCAAGCAAUCGUUCCACGAGUUUUGUUACUGGAGAUUAUGUGGUGUGUG